UUGAAGGCUGGAAUGAAUGGUUGGACAAGAAAUAAGCUGUCUUAAAUAAAAAUAUUGAACUUAACUUUUAAGUGAAAAGGCUUAAAUUUUCUAAAGGGACGAUAAGACCCUAUAAAACUUUAUAUUUAAAAAUAAUUGCAAUUAUUAUUUAAAGAUUUUAUUUUUAAAUAUUUUAUUGGGGCGAUAAGGAUAAAAUAUAAGACAACUGUCUUUUAUUUUAACAAUAAUUUUUGAGUAAAUGAUCUUAGUAAAGGAAUAAAAGAUUAAGUUACUUUAGGGAUAACAGCGUAAUUUUCUUUGAGAGUUCUUAUCGACAAGAAAGUUUGCGACCUCGAUGUUGAAUUAAAAGUUCUUUAUAGAGUAGAGACUAUAUUAGAAGGUCUGUUCGA
rnacentral:rRNA from 1 species